AACCACAAAUAAUCACCAAAACACUCCCUCUCAUGAAAAGAAAAAACAACAACAACAAUAAAAAUUAUAAUGGAAAAAAACAAAAAAGUUUACCUUUUCUACAAUCUCGCACUCCCCAACACAAAAAUUAAAAAAUAACUUGGCAGCUUCCACGAGAGUUCUUUGCAACGGAAAUGGAUGAUUGGGAUCACGCAAGCAACUUUAAAGCCUAGUUGUUUUCUGACGCCCUGCAAAGCUUCUCAUCCUUUCAUUUGCUGCGUCUAUCUUGGUUUUGUAGCUUUGGCCAAAUGCCACUUCAAAUUCAGCGGCUCCCGCCUUUCGCCAACGCUAUUAGAUCAAUUGAAGAAUAAAUUAAUUAAAAGAGAAAGAUAAUCAAGGAAGUUCUUUGCAUGGAUCCAUAUUAACACAAGGUACAUUAAAAAACAAUGUCAUUGGUUUUUUUUUAUAUACUAUUGAUCCUUUCUUUCUA